GACGAACGCUGGCGGCGUGCCUAAUACAUGCAAGUCAAGCGGAUUGAUGGGAGCUUGCUCCCUGAUAUCAGCGGCGGACGGGUGAGUAACACGUGGGCAACCUGCCUAUAAGACUGGGAUAACUUCGGGAAACCGGAGCUAAUACCGGAUAAUCCCUUUCCUCUCAUGAGGAAAGGCUGAAAGACGGUUUACGCUAUCACUUAUAGACGGGCCCGCGGCGCAUUAGCUAGUUGGUGAGGUAACGGCUCACCAAGGCAACGAUGCGUAGCCGACCUGAGAGGGUGAUCGGCCACACUGGGACUGAGACACGGCCCAGACUCCUACGGGAGGCAGCAGUAGGGUAUCUUCCGCAAUGGACGAAAGUCUGACGGAGCAACGCCGCGUGAGUGAUGAAGGUUUUCGGAUCGUAAAACUCUGUUGUUAGGGAAGAACAAGUACGAGAGUAACUGCUCGUACCUUGACGGUACCUAACCAGAAAGCCACGGCUAACUACGUGCCAGCCGCCGCGGUAA
rnacentral:rRNA from 1 species